GCCCGAUCCAUUUCUGCACCCUUCCUCCACAAUCUUAAGAGUGUAUAGAGAGGCCUGAACUGGGCGCAGUCAUGUAUAUGGUCCAGAUGGUCUCAGCACAUCUCAUGGCUGUGCCCUUGGGGCAGCUUCCGGGAGCAGGACAGCAAGCAGGAUGCACAUCCUAAGGACAUGGGAGCAGAAGAAGAUAAAUUCCUGGGCCCUGAUCCAUUUAGACUGGAGUCAACUCAUUAAAGGUGUUGGAAAUGUCUCUUGGUUGCUCAGGAUUUGGAUCACAGACCUUUCUCAGGAGCUGUGGGUGUGUCAGCCGUCACACUGAAGGGAAUGGAGGCCCAAGGAGCAUCAGAGGCUCCCAGACAUGUCUGCUGGAGAUCAGAAGGCUGAGGAUCCUCUGAUGAACUCCCCCCAGAGGCACCAGCCCCUCUGGGUUGCUUGAGACCAGGAGGCGAAGGGCGUGAACCUGUUCCAGAGUGAAGCUUGUAUGGCUCCGGCGAGCACACCUUGGCUUUUCUGCCAUAGUCUCCUUCCGUGACCGCUGUGUGUUCUCUGAGCUGCUGAACUCAGCCUAUGUCUGGAUGCCAGAUCUUAUACUUCUCAAGACAAGAUUAAUGUGAUCCUUGUCUUCCUGGAGCUUGAAGACCUCCUGGGUCACAUGCUCUUGUUGAUACAUGGACUUUGUGAUGUGCACUUUGGUGCACAGUUUUCCCUUGCAUUUCGAUACUCGGUUGAGUUCCAGAUGGUUAAAGGUGCCAGAAAAAUGACAGGGGAACAGUCAAUACGCUGGUGUCAUUGGUGUUGUCUUGUCUGGGAGUUGGAGCCAGUUAGUGGGCGGGGGGAAAACAAAGGAAACUGUUAAGUCCAGAAAGUUUAAGGGGCCUAAGCUCUGGCCCUCAAAUCCCUGGAUUUGAAUCUCAGAUUCAUCAUUUACUGGUGCCGUGACCUUGAACAAGCUCCCUCCUUUCUUCAUGCCUCAGUUUCUCCAUCUACAGAGCAGACUUCAUGAUAACCUCCUAAAUCUAUGCUGAGAACUCAGAAGCUAUAUAAAGCUUUAGACAGCUACUGGCACAGAGCAAGCACUUAAUAAAUGAUAGUGACUAUUGCCAUUUACCCUGUGGGCUCUCCGGGGAGCAGUGGGACCGAGGUCCAGAUUCUGAACUUGCAGGGCUGGUGUGGAGGAGUACGAGGGAGUGGGGACCCCAGCCCCAGCUUUGGAGGGGCUGCCGAGUGCAGGGUAGAGGCGGUGGGGGAAGGGCCCCGGCUCACUCCAGCAAGGCCGUUAAUUACCUCUCAGGGUCACGGGUAUUAAGGAGCCUCCAAGAGGGGAUCUUCGCCCGGCCCUCUGUAUAUUGAUCUCAUCUAAUCUCUCAGCAGGCGGACCCAUCGCUAAAUCCUCUUUAACUCAUUACCUGCCCUUUCUGGGCAAGGCGGCCCCAGGCAGGGCUUACUUAGCUCGCAGCAAAAGAGGCCUGGGAAGCUGGAGCACUUUGAGGAGCAUCUGGGCACCCCACCCCACAAUGGAGGAUGGACAGGGCGAUGUGUACGUGGGGGUGACGUCCCCGAGGAGGGCAAGCGGCGGCUGCUUCCCCUCUGCCUGCCACCGUGUGCCAGGACACCACCCAUUUCUCUCCCCUGUCUGGGGGUCCACUGUCGCGGCUACAGACCCUGAGUGAGAGCCUCCCUCUGGUUGGCCGUGGCCUCCCGCCGUCCCCAGCAUCCCCACUGGCGCCCAGGGGAGGAUUUAGGAGCUGGCCCUAGGCCCCCGCACUGCUUUGCUGCUUUGCCACUGUCCUUAAAGAAACCAGAGCUGCGGGGGUGUACCGCCUGGCCCCGGCCGCCCUGCUCAGGCUGGGUCCACGGAGGGCAGCUGGGCUUCACUGGAGUCGCCGGUGCUCUUUGGGCCCCUGCAUGAUGUGGAUUGCUCAGGGGGCCCUUCAGUUCCCAGCUUUGAAGUGAGCUCUGGUUUGGGUGAUGGAGAAACCAGGGGCCCUGGGACAUGUGGGCAGCCCAUGGAGGACACAGAGGCUGCCUUGGAGAGGCAGCUUGCUGGCAUUUUUUAAAGUUCUGGCGACAGCAGCCUGGGCUCGAAUCCUGCCUCCACCACUUUCUGCUGGGAGAACCCGAGCAAGUGACAUUGCCUUUUGGAGCCUGUUUUCUCACCCAUCACCUGUCACCUCCUCUGCCUGGAUCAAGAACUGAGUGAGUGAAAUGGUUCUGAGGGAAUGUCCUGGCCAAAAGACAAUCAAUACAUGAAGGACAGUGAGGGGUGGCAGCAAGCCCCCACCUUCUGGAGGUCCAGGGUUGCAGGCUGAAGUUGACACGACCACUUGCUCUUGCCCAGGCAGCUGGAUGGCACGGGUGCAGGGUGGAUCUCUGUGAGGGCAGGGGUGCCUGUUGGUCCAGGGGUGGAGCUGCCUAGUGCACAUCUCCCUCCCCAGAAUGCACGAGGGAGCUCUGGGGGCUGAGUUCAGGGUCCCACACAGGUGUGUCCUGACCUGUGCCUCAGUGUUGGGGCAUCCCUGGCACACACCUGGGUCACACCUGGGGCAUACCUAGAGCCUGCGUGGAGCACACCUUGCAGGCUUUCAGCCACUAGUCCAUCGUGACCCUGCUCAACCAGCAUCAGGCACCUGGGUGAAGUCACUUUUCCCAAUAAAACUCCAAACCAGGAACCUGUAAAUAGCUCAGUGUGCCAGGCACUGUCCUCAGUCCUUCACAUUCAUGAACUUCUUUAAUUUUCACAACAGUCUGUAAGUGGGAGCCCAUGCCUGCUGCCAGCCAAGAACUGUGCUUCCUGCCCACCUUGAGGGUCAGGUCACGUGACUAGUUCUAACCAAUGAGCUGUGAGUGCAAUUGACACGAAUCUUUCCCAGGCUAACGCCUUCAAUUGCCCGUGCAUGACCUUCCAAAGCUCUUAGUUCAUUCUGAUGUGACAGCAAGCAAUGUUCCAGAAUGUUCCAGAAUGUGCUCCACUGGAACUACGAUGAGCAGAACCCCACUCCCAGUGACCCCAAACAGACCUGAAGUCUGAGCAAAAAAUAAACCUUGUGAU